rnacentral:rRNA from 1 species
GACGGAGGAUGCAAGCGUUAUCCGGAAUGAUUGGGCGUAAAGCGUCUGCAGGUGGCAGUUCAAGUCUGCUGUCAAAGACCGGGGCUUAACUUCGGAAAGGCAGUGGAAACUGAACAGCUAGAGUAUGGUAGGGGCAGAGGGAAUUCCUGGUGUAGCGGUGAAAUGCGUAGAUAUCAGGAAGAACAUCGGUGGCGAAGGCGCUCUGCUGGACCAUAACUGACACUCAGGGACGAAAGCUAGGGGAGCGAAUGGG